GUUCAAUUAUAUAAUUGAUGUAUGGGAAUUAGAGGCAAAGAGGAAGAUAAAUUAGGUUAAAUUAAUUUUGGUUCCUCCCGCCAAUCCUCAAUCAGUCCAAUCUCUCUAUCAAACCAAAAUCACAGCCUCUUGUCUUGCCAUUGUUGUAUCUUCUCUUCCCCUCUUCAAAUCAUUCAAGAAACGCCCCACCAGAUAUGAAUAUUGCUGCUUCUCUAUCUUCACUCGCCGCCCUGCGCCUUCCUGUUUGUCUCCAUUGUUUCCGAACCUUCAGAACACCCAUUUCCUUCCCUUCUCUAUCCUUAAAUCCCCCAAGUUUGCAUAUCUUUUCGUCGAUGACUUCUUCCAUUACUGCGUCCAUGUCCACUUCCUCACCUCUGGCCCCCGAUCUGCUCGCUUUGGAGGAGAACAAGCCCGCGCCGCCGCCCAAGCCAUGGCUGAUCGUUGGCCUUGGGAAUCCCGGGAAGAAGUAUGAACGCACGCGCCAUAGUGUCCCCAUAUAGAGUGUUGUCUGGAUGCCCUUUAUUAAGACGAAUUGAAGCAUGGCAGUCCAUGAUGCCAUGAUUAAUUUUCCAGGUAGGUUUUGAGAUGGUGGAUGCUGUUGCUGUGGUUGAAGGGAUAUCCAUGAGUAGUACUUCCUUCAAAGCUCUGAUUGGGUAAGGUGUGCAGAUUUUAACAAACUCGUUGUUCUUACCUAGUGCUUUUUUACAAUUCUCGACAGUUGAUAAAAUUAAAAUAUCUGGUUAGAACUUAGAAGUACUAUCUAACCGCUAGUU